CGGACUGAUUACAGGCAAAAACCAGGAAACAGAACAGAAGGGUACCAUAGCAGUUAAUGGCAACAUACCUUUCAUAUUUCCAUUCAGAUUUUAUUUAAAAUGAAGUCUUUCAUAUUUCUUUCUAAGAGAAACUUCUACAACCUCUCCUACAUGUAAUAGUGUACUGACAUUAGCCAUCUUGUUAACACCUAGAAAAACUUUAGACUAAUAGGCUUCCAUUGUUGAGUACUAUAACUAUGAUUGGAAUCUUUAGUCUUUUUAAAAUAAAGAAUUCUCACUCAUUGAAAACUCUUAAAAAUAAUUUUAGAUGUAUUUGAACUACAUAUAUAUCAUGACAUUAAAUGCAAGUUAAAAAUACAAUUAUUAAAUAGCAAGGAAGUAUCCAUGGGUCUUCAAAAGCGCCUUCUUUCAGUUCUGCUUGGAUUUGUCACGUAGUUGGGACCAGAGCAGCACGUCUUCCUCAGCCUCACAUCAGACCAGGGGUUGCGAUGCUGAAUUUUGCUUGUAAACUGUAGGAAGUUUGGAUGUUUUUCUGCAGGUGCCCAGACGAGAUGCCUCACGGACUGUUCACAACAGUUGGCUGCCUCACUUUUCCCAAUGUCCAACAACUGCUUUCCCUCCCUCAGCACGAUCCCCGUCUCACUUCUGCUGCCCACUCCCAUCUUACUGCUAUGUGGGAUUUCCACAACUCCCAUCAAUUUGUCACUGGGCUCGACUUUAACCCCACUAUUCGCAGCGGAGGGCAGCACUUGUGCCGAAGCUCAGUUUUGCACUCAUACAGAGAAACACGGUGGUGAAUCAUCCGCUGUACACCCAUGUGCCCAAAAUGGAAGACGACAGCCAUUUUGAUGAAAGAGAAAACACGUGAGGCUCAAACAGCUGCAGUUGGAGGAACUGACAGUGCUAAAAAUGAGAAAGGCUCACUUGUCCAGGGAGGAUGGAGUAAUGUGGGAAUGCUGGGUGUGAGAAACUUCUCGUGGAGCAUGGAGGAGACUGUGCGCACACUGAAAGUUGUGAUAGCCACCACGCAGUAUAAAUCUUUGUAGUGUGAGGCAUAGAGAAGCGCUGUGAUUUCUCCGAGGGCAGCUUACAAACGUUUCAGAGUGUGACCAUAGUGUUGCUGGCAUUGUUGCAGGAUUGGGAAGUGCUUCCAAGUCACACAGCAGCCUACAGCUCAUCUGGCUUUAAUAGGAUCUCAGUUCUGUGAUAUAAACAGCGCAAUAAUUACAACCACAAAACAUUUUUCUCCCC
ensembl:lncRNA